rnacentral:rRNA from 1 species
CCUACGGGAGGCAGCAGUAGGGAAUAUUACUCAAUGGGGGAAACCCUGAAGCAGCAACGCCGCGUGGAGGAUGAAGGUUUUCGGAUUGUAAACUCCUUUUGUUAGAGAAGAUAAUGACGGUAUCUAACGAAUAAGCACCGGCUAACUCCGUGCCAGCAGCCGCGGUAAUACGGAGGGUGCAAGCGUUAGUCGGAAUCACUGGGCGUAAAGAGAGCGUAGGCGGGAUAGCAAGUCAGAUGUGAAAUCCUAUGGCUUAACCAUAGAACUGCAUUUGAAACUGUUAUUCUAGAGUAUGGGAGAGGUAGGUGGAAUUCUUGGUGUAGGGGUAAAAUCCGUAGAGAUCAAGAGGAAUACUCAUUGCGAAGGCGACCUGCUAGAACAUAACUGACGCUGAUGCGCGAAAGCGUGGGGAGCAAACAGGAUUAGAUACCCUUGUAGUC